rnacentral:lncRNA from 1 species
GCAUAUAUAAGGCAUUGGCAGAAUUACCUCUACAUCUCCAUCCUACACCGCUAUUGGAAGUGUCUCGUAGAUUUUAGAUUGUCAAAUGCGUUAGCAGUAAAUUACGGGCGGAGAACGAAGGCUGCCACCACCAUGUGACGGUGGGGCCUCCGUGAUCUGCGGCAAACUAACUUCUAUUACACCAAUCACUAAUCACUGUACAAAAGCUGCCUUAUCGCUCAGAUGCCAAUUACUACGUUGAAUUCAAGUACUAAAAAUCUGUUCUCACUCAACUUUAUAUAUCCACUCUCACUUUAUUUUCCCCACUCUUCUUCACUUUCAAUCAUAGAAUCUUCACACACGCUUUUCGUCAAGCCGUUGAAGCACUGAACUUGCGUUUCAAAUUUUCAGAAUAUUGAGUGUGUUAUUAUUAUUAUUAUUAUUAUUUUUCAAUUUGUGUGUAUUAUAGUUCAGGAUGCCUAGUAGUGUGACUUCAUCAGAGGAUGAAUGCGAAGAGUUACAAUCGCGGCGAUUUGAUGACAGUUAUAGUUUCAGCGCUGACGUCAGCGAGUCGGAGAGCUCGUCUUCGAGUACAAGCACUUNNN